AGUUGCACAGCUGCCUGGUAGGUGACUGGAGGCAUUGAGCAGUGUGCUCACUGGUAUUUCGCUGAUGUGGCCCCAACCCCGCCUCCCUCCCCACCCCGCGAUGUCAGAAAAAACACAACAGGGGAAAUUGGCCGCAGCCAAGAAAAAGUUAAAAGCAUAUUGGCAGAGGAAGAGCCCUGGCAUUCCAGCAGGAGCUAACAGGAAAAAGAAAAUCAAUGGCAGUAGCCCUGACACAGCCACUUCUGGUGGUUACCACUCACCUGGGGAUUCAGCAACAGGUAUCUACGGAGAAGGCCGUGCAUCCUCUACUACCCUGGAGGAUCUGGAGAGCCAGUACCAAGAACUAGCAGUGGCCCUGGAUUCAAGCUCCGCAAUAAUCAGUCAACUCACUGAAAACAUCAAUUCACUGCUGAACCCCUGGCCCCAGAGCCCCCAGCAGGGCCAUCUAAGGUAGAGCAGCUACAAGAUGAGACCAACCACCUAAGGAAGGAGCUAGAG
rnacentral:misc_RNA from 1 species